CGGGUGAGUAACACGUGGAUAACCUACCUAUAAGACUGGGAUAACUUCGGGAAACCGGAGCUAAUACCGGAUAAUAUAUUGAACCGCAUGGUUCAAUAGUGAAAGACGGUUUUGCUGUCACUUAUAGAUGGAUCCGCGCCGCAUUAGCUAGUUGGUAAGGUAACGGCUUACCAAGGCAGCGAUGCGUAGCCGACCUGAGAGGGUGAUCGGCCACACUGGAACUGAGACAGGUCCAGACUCCUACGGGAGGCAGCAGCU
rnacentral:rRNA from 1 species